UGGGGGAUAUUGCACAAUGGAGGGAACUCUGAUGCAGCGACGCCGCGUGAAGGAAGAAGGCCUUCGGGUCGUAAACUUCUGUCCUUGGGGAAGAAAUAAAUGACGGUACCCUUGGAGGAAGCCCCGGCUAACUACGUGCCAGCAGCCGCGGUAACACGUAGGGGGCGAGCGUUAUCCGGAAUUACUGGGCGUAAAGAGUGCGUAGGUGGCUUUUUAAGCGCGGGGUCUAAGGCUAUGGCCUAACCAUAGUCCGCCCUGCGAACUGGAGAGCUUGAGUACAGGAGGGGAAAGCGGAAUUCCUAGUGUAGCGGUGAAAUGCGUAGAUAUUAGGAGGAACACCAGUGGCGAAGGCGGCUUUCUGGACUGAAACUGACACUGAGGCACGAAAGCGUGGGUAGCAAACAGGAUUAGAUACCCUGGUAGU
rnacentral:rRNA from 1 species